UAGGGAAUUUUCGGCAAUGGGGGCAACCCUGACCGAGCAACGCCGCGUGAGUGAAGACGGCCUUCGGGUUGUAAAGCUCUGUUGUAAGGGAAGAACGGUAGAUAGAGAAUAUCUAAGUGACGGUACCUUACCAGAAAGCCACGGCUAACUACGUGCCAGCAGCCGCGGUAGUACGUAGGUGGCGAGCGUUAUCCGGAAUUAUUGGGCGUAAAGGGUGCGUAGGCGGCCUGUUAAGUAAGUGGUUAAAUUGUUGGGCUCAACCCAAUCCAGCCACUUAAACUGGCAGGCUAGAGUAUUGGAGAGGCAAGUGGAAUUCCAUGUGUAGCGGUAAAAUGCGUAGAUAUAUGGAGGAACACCAGUGGCGAAGGCGGCUUGCUAGCCAAAGACUGACGCUCAUGCACGAAAGCGUGGGGAGCAAAUAGGAUUAGAUACCCUAGUAGUCCACGCCGUAAACGAUGAAUACUAAGUAUUGGGGAAACUCAGUGCUGCAGCUAACGCAAUAAGUAUUCCGCCUGUGGAGUAUGCACGCAAGUGUG
rnacentral:rRNA from 1 species